rnacentral:lncRNA from 1 species
AGAGCAAGUGUGGUUAUGGACUUGAUUACCUUGCAACCUUAAAAACAAAUAAACCAGCUUGAGUCUUUUUCUUACCAUGGUGGGUUCCUGUUAGGCAAGAACUGCAACUCCAUGAGCAAGUUGUCCCAACACCACAGGGGCAGACCUUCAUCACAUAGCAACUCCCAAAAUGGGAAUUGGAGUGGAUUUUAGAACACAGUCAGCUAACAUUGAGAACAUCAUGGUUGUAGGCAAAACUUUCCGUUCCUCUAUUUGUCUCUCUGCUCCGUUCUUGGGUCCAUAUUCUCCUACACAUUUUGGAUGCUUGAAAUACUGAUUGGUGAGAAAAAGAAGGCUCAGGGCAUUCCUGCUUGAAAUGUGGAUUCUUAGCCACCUCCUCUGUAAAAGCUACUACUCAUCCCCUCAAUUGCCUCUUGCUUUUAAGAAUGUCCUCAUGCAUUCGAACUUUUCACUUCAGCUUGUUUUGCUUCUCUCUGCUCAGAUCCAUAUUCCUCCACACAGUCGUGUCAGAGAUUUAUCACACUAUGACCUCAGUCAUAUCCUCCUUUAAAAGGAGUCAAACACAAACUUCACAAAGCCUCUAAUAUUCUAGGUGUUCAGCAGGAAGACUGGAACAUGAAAUUCCUCCCACUUGGAGCACACCCACAUAAAUGUUUCUCUAAAAUCUAUUUAUCUUAGUCACGACCUAUGAACACGAAUAGAAUGUAGUGAAUGUUCCCUGUCUCUCGUGUGCCUGAGCACUGGGAAAAGUUAGAAUUUAUACAGUUGUAAUUUCUAGGGAGGAGUGCAACAACUUCACAUUUUUUUAAACAGAAUCAUUUAAGAAGGAGAGCAUUUUAAAUGUGUCCCUUCUCUUUCGCACCAUUUAAAAAGAUCUCUGCAUCUCAAUGUGGUUCUUCUGCUAUCAGAUAUGUGGCUGAUUUUGUGAUUGUUAGAUUAAGAAAAAUGGAAAAUCUGACAGCACAUGAUUCCACAAAUGAAUGAUACACAUACAAUAAUAGGUAAGUACUCACCAUGAGUAAAACAAACAAAUAUAUACAGAAAAGGAAACAGUGAUCCUUUGAGGACUGAAGAUAAGAGCUUCAUUACUUACAGUAGGGUUCCUGAUGGGAUUGGGUUCCACCAAUCAGAGCCACUUGCAUGAGACCUCAACUGAGAGCCAGGUGUUUGAAGAGGAGGGGCUCACUCUAAAUCUUGAAGAUGUUCAGCCUCGAAAAAGUAGAAGUCAUUGUGACCAAAGAUGAUGCCACCAUGCCUUUGAAAAAGAAAGGUGAUGAGCCUCAAAUGGAAAAAUACAUUCAAGAAAGGUCAAUGCUAGUGAGUAUGAAUGAACACAUAGCAAAAAUUUCAGGUAGAACAGCCAUGCCAAGGGCUGGUGGGACAGGUGAGGCCGAGUGAAUAAAAAGAAGUAGCCCCAGAGACACUCAAGGUGGUUCCAGCUGCUUUUGAAGGAGGUUUCUUUCUAAGAGGUGGCUGGGCUUGGUUUCAGCGUAUUCCAAUUUGGGACUCAUGAACUGCAACUAAUAAAGAUCAAAAAACUGAUACAGAAAUUGUUUUAUAAAACAUUCAAUUCAAAAUGCCUGCAGUGACCUUGACAAGAGCAGACGUUAGGAAGAUCCCUGACAGCUGAGAACAUUGUGUGAAGCCC